rnacentral:rRNA from 1 species
ACGGAGGGGGCUAGCGUUGUUCGGAAUUACUGGGCGUAAAGCGCACGUAGGCGGCUUUGUAAGUUAGAGGUGAAAGCCCGGAGCUCAACUCCGGAAUUGCCUUUAAGACUGCAUCGCAUGAAUCAUGGAGAGGUGAGUGGAAUUCCGAGUGUAGAGGUGAAAUUCGUAGAUAUCGGAAGGAACACCAGUGGCGAAAGCGGCUUCCUGGUCCAGCACCGACGUUCAGGCACGAAAGCGUGGGGAGCAAACAGGA